UUGUGUUCAAGUUUCUCCUCUUGAAAUUGCACAUUUUACAUUUUUUAAAAAAUUAAAAUUAAAAAACAAAAUAGUAUGAUAGUGUUAAUUUGGCAGUUCCAACUUUAGUAACCUAUCUUACAGAAAUAUGAAUAGACAAAAUAAAGAUGUGUGAGGAUGUACUUUGCAGCAGCAUUAUAAUAGCAAAAACCUGGAAACAAAUAUUGAUGGACAGGUUAAGUAAAUCAUAGGACAUUCAUACAAUGGAAUACUAGCAAAAAUAUUAAAAAGAAUGAGGUAGAUCUAGAUAUGCUAGUAUGGAAAGAUGUCCAUAAUUAUCUAGUUCCCCACCUCAAAAAAAAAAAAAAAACCUGAGAAUCAUUAUACUGAGAAUGGUCCAAUUUGUGUCUGUAUGUACAUAAUAUGUACAUAACAAAUAUAGUAUAUUUUUACACAGGGGAAAAGUCCAAAAGAAUAUCAACCUGUAAAAAGUAGUUAUCCCAGCUGGGCGCGGUUGCUCAUGCCUGUAAUCCCAGCACUUUGGGAGGCAGAGGCAGGCGGAUCACAAGGUCAGGAGAUCGAGACCAUCCUGGCUAACACAGUGAAACCCUGUCUCUACUAAAAAUACAAAAAAUUAGCCAGGUAUGGCGACGUGCGCCUGUAGUCCCAGUUGUUGGGGAGGCUGAGGCAGGAGAAUAGCGUGAA
rnacentral:lncRNA from 1 species